AGGACGGGCGGACGCGCCCCGUGCCGCGCUGUGUUGGGGAGGGGGGGGGGCGGCAGUCGGCCCCGCUCCGAGCGAGGGAGGUGGGGACCCUCCCGGGAUGCUGCAGAGGUUGAAAUCCCAAUGGGACCCCAGUGGUUCUACAGCUGAGAGAAAUUCAGCACAAAAUACCUGUGAACCCUCUGGGACAAUUUUGAAAAGUGAGAUUUUUCUGCCUCAGGAACAUUUUGGGGCCCAGAACACACGACCUUACAAAAGGGCACUGUGCACGUGUCCUUUUCACAGUAUUUUUCCUACUGUUCAACUUGGCUGUUGUGGAGACAAUUAGCCUUCAUCUCCAGAGACACUUGCAAUUCUGUUAUCAUUUAAGAUUAAAUUAUUUGGGGUUAA